AAUUCUAAACUAUCCUCUUUUGGGUUAUUUCUCUUUUGUUAUCUUCUUUCUCCCUUUUUAUUUUGAUAAGAUGCAGGAAAGAACUUGGAGGAAACUUCCCUUUUGCAUUGAUUAUUUGCUGUGAAGCUGUUUCAGCACUUGUGCGUUUUCCUUUUGACUGCACCUACUUUUGCACGGUUGCUCGUAUCGCACCUGUUUCAAUUUUCAACAAAGAACAAUUGUUAGUUUGAAACAAAUGGUUUGUUCUAUGGCCUUGAUUGCUUGAUCCUGUCCCAACUUAUGUUGGAAACCUCUGCUGCUUGCUAGUUUUGAAGAUCAUCCUCUCUUUCGAGCCAAAGGCCUCAACCUUCAGGAUUUCAUGACAACUCGCCUGCAUAAGGCUCCGAGUUUUCACGUUAUUCUUCUCUUAGGACCUUUGUCUUUACACAUUUUUACUUUUCCAUAUCCUUGCUUUGAGAGCAUCAACCAUCGUGGCCAUUCUGGAUUAGCUUACUCCACCCACUGAGGAUGGGUACCUUUCUUUUGCUUUUGUUGGGCAGGGCCCUAUAAACCAAUCCUGUUACCUUUUCUUUGUAAUAGUUUCAAAAUAAGAGUUAGACAGAAAGGGAUUCAAGGAAAAAGUAAAUAGAGAGCGAGAGGAUGAAUUUAAAUAGAAGCAUCCCUUUCGGGGGAAAAGAAGGACUUAUCUAGGGAUGCAUGAAAGAUUCAAAUGAACAUGACAUGCUUCUUUGACUGGAUGCCCGACCCAUACAAACUUUCUCAACUUCUCGUAAGCUCAUUGACCCAUGUUUCAAAACCAAGAAACCUUGUCAGAACUCUUUUAGUGAUGGGAGGUGCCUUCUUUUUGGCCGGCGAUGUCCUUUAAGGGUUAUCGCCAAUCAACCCCUCUCAUUUCUCUUCUCACUGUCUCUCGAUAGUGAUCUUUACGAGUUUUUACCAAACGGACUCUCUCAUUUUCAAUUUCUCUGCUCACCGUGGCCUUAUGGUGCAUGUAGGUUCUCACCGAUAAGACUCUAUCAUUUUAUUUCUCUCAAUUUGGACUGCAUUAAUUUCCAACAAUGAUGUUUUUCAACUUCCACACCUUUAUAAUUGAUCAGAACGAUAAGGUUUUUGGGCAAAAAGAAUUCUGGACGGAAUUAUAACUUUAGAACUAUCUCGGUGGGCUCAUGGCUGAGCCAUUAUGUCAUCUGCCCUAGUUUCAUUUUUUAGGGAAAUUGAAAAUUAUAUUUUGGUGUGACUGAACCCAGAAAGAGGCUGCCUACAUAUCCUUUCGAAAUCAAGUUAGAUGUAGUUCAGGAGAUAUUGUUUUUGGUUUUCUUUUGUUAUUUUUUUUUGUCUUCUUUUUUCUAUUUUGUUUUGUUUUCUAUUUCUUUUCCCUUUCCUUUUCCUCCUUUUUUUUGAAUAACAUUUCCAGGAUCCAAAGAGGGUAGUCAAGGAAUAGUUACCGGCUCAAAUGGUUUUCGUAGCGGGAAUAAAAUCCUUCGUCAUCUCAACCGGACUGAAUAUUUACUACAGGGAGCCUAGACAUAGUACCUUUUUACUGUGUCUGCGUUCAGUGCUACUUCGGGAUCAUGCCCAAAUAUAAUGCUCCUUUCGGCAAUAUAUUUCUUAUGAUAUACGGGCUUUUCCAAUUAGAAGAUGAUUUUCCUUUUGCUUCCUGGUGGUGAGGAAGAAUGCGCCUUAAUACAAGUUGUCCCACCUUAAAAUUCCUAGGGCAUACUUUCUUGUUAUAAGCACGAGCCAUUAUUUUUGGUACAAUUACCCAUGGCAGACCGCACCAUUAGUUUUUCAUCAAUUAAGGUCAGUUAUUCUAGACGAGUCCUGACCCACUCAGUGUCUUCAAUCUCAGCUUCAACGAUGAUUCAUAGAGAAGGAAUUUCCACCUCCGCAGGCAUUACUACCUCAGUUUCGUAGACCAAAAGGUAGGGAGUUGCUUCUAUUGAUGUGUGCACUGUUAUGCAAUACCACAAUAAUGCGAAAGGUAGCUUCUCAUGCCAUUGCCUGGAGCUUUGAAUCAUUUUUCUCAAAAUCUUCUUGAUGUUUUGUUUGCCUCUUCGACGGCACCAUUGGAUUUGGGCUGAUAGGGAGUAGAGUUUCGAUGCGUUAUUUUGAAUUGGUCCCAUAUCUCUCCUAUCAAUCAACUGUUCAAAUUUGCAGUGUUAUCUGUGAUGAUGGUUGCUGGGAUGCCAAAACGACAAAUGAGAUAGGAAUGCACAAAAUCCACCACAACUUUCUUGGUAAUCUAUUUAAGAGUGAUGGCUUCAACACAUUUUGUGAAGUAAUCAAUGGAAACUAGUGUGAAUCUGUGCCCAUUUGAGGCUUCGGGCUCGAUCAGCCCAAUAACAUCCAUGCCCAAGCUAUGAAUGGCCAAGGUGCUGACAUGGGAUGCAAUUCUGUGGGAGGUGCAUGAAUCAAAUCACCGUGCACUUGACACUGAUGGCAUUUCAGAACAAAGCUAAAACAAUCCUUUUCCAUGGUUAUCCAAUAAUAUCCUAUUCAGAUGAUUUUCUUCACUUGAACAUACCCAUUCAUGUGUGGUCCUCAAACUCCUGCAUGUACUUCAUGCAUGAUUCGUCCAGCCUCUUCGGCGUCAACACAUCUUAACAAAUUAAGGUCCGAGGUCCCUUUGUACAAAACCUCACCGCUUAAAAAAGAAGCCACUUGCUUGCCGUCUGAAGUUCUUUUUUGGUCUCUAGUGGCUUUCUCGGGAUAUUCUUGGUUUUCUAGAAAUAUCUUGAUAUCAUGGUACCAUGGCUGGCUGUUUGGUUCUGCCUCAGCCGCAUUACAGUACCCAUGCCUUUCCCUAGCUUGGAUUCUAAGGGAUCGAUGUGGGCAUUUCUUGGGUAAGGCAACAUCGAGGCCAACGUGGAAAGUGCAUCAGCUAGCUUACUGUGACAGCGAGGGAUGUACCUGAACAAUAUCGUCUUGAACCUCCUGCUAAGAUCUUCCACAUGUUUCCGGUAAGGGAUAAGUUUGUCAUCUCGAGUUUCCCAUUCUCCUUGGUCUUGCCGGAUGAUUAAAUCUAAAUCCCCCAUAAUUAAUAACUCUUUGACAAUUUGGUCAACCGCCAUGUCAUACCCAUGAUGCAAGCUUCGUAUUUGGCUGUAUUGUUUGUGCGAAAGAACCGAAGUUAGGCGGUGGCUGGAUAAUGCUGACUGGUAGGUGAAACUAAAGCUGCCCCAAUUCCCACACCGUUUGCGUUUAUCGCCCCACCAAAGAACAAUUUCCAGGCAGCGGUAUCUUUAGAUAUUGCCUCCACCGAGUUCACCUCUUCGUCUGGGAAACAAAUAUUAAGGGUUUGUUACUCAUUAUCAACUGGGUUUUCGCCUAAAUGGUCCUCUAAGGCUUGGGCCUUCAUUGUUGUAUGGGUGACAUAGACUAUGUCAAACUCGGUGAGCAGGAUCUGCUAUUUUGCUAAUCUCCCCAUGGGCAUUGGCUUUUAAAAUAUGUACUUCAGAGGAUCCAACCUAGUUAUGAGGUAGGUGGUGUAAGGUUGCAGGUAAUGCCUCAAUUUUUGAGCAACCCAAGUUAGAGCGCAACAAGUUCUUUUCAACAAAGUGUACUUGGCCUCAAAGCUGGUGAAUUUCUUACUCAGAUAGUAUAUUGCCUACUCUUUCUUUCCAGUGAUGUCGUGUUGCCCCAGAACGCAACCAAAGGAACUUUCCAAGAUGAUCAGAUACAGAAACAGUGGCCUCCCUGGCUCAGGUGGAACUAAAACCGGUGGGUUGGACAAGUAAUCUUUAAUCUUAUGGAAAGCCUUUUGGCAGUCAUCCGUCCAUUUGACCGCUGCAUCUUUCUUUAGCAAUUUGAUUAUGGGCUCACGUGUGGAAGUUAGCUGAGUGAUGAAUUGACUAAUAUAAUUCAAUCUUCACAACAAGCUCAUUAUAUCUUUUUUGGUCUUUAGAGGAGGUAAAUCUUGAAUAGAAUUUAUCUUAGUCGGAUCUAACUCAAUACCUCUUCGGCUCACUAUGAAUCCCAGGACCCCAAAUGCACAUUCGGCUGGGUUCAGUUUCAUAUCAUAUCUGCAUAGUCGUUCGAAGAACUUCCUUAGAUCUGUCAAAUGGUCAUCCUGAGUUUUUGACUUGAUGAUCACAUCAUCCACAUACACCUCUAUUUUCUGAUGCAUCAUAUCAUGUAAGAUGGUGGUCAUGGCUUUCAAAUAGGUUGCCCCAACGUUCUUCAGUCUGAAAGGCAUAACCCUAUAGUAGUAGGUCCCCCAAGGUGUGGUAAAGGCGGUUUUCUCUGCAUACUCUUCAUCCAUCAACACCUCGUGAUAUCCUCCGUAAUAGUCCAAGAAAGACUGUAUCUCAUGUUUGGCACAGUUAUCAACAAGGAUGUGGAUAUUGGGCAAUGGGAAGUUGCCUUUGGGGCUGGCUUUGUUCAAAUCUCUAUAGUCCACGUAUACUUAGGUUUUUCCAUCCUUCAUUAGCACUGGAACUACGUUGGCUAGACAUGUGGUGUACGGACAACUCGGAUCACUCAUGCUCCCAAUUGUUUCAAGAUCUCUUCUUUGAUUUUAUCACUGAACUCAAUUUUAAAUUUUCUAUAUUUUUGUUGGAUCGGGGGGCACUCAGGAUACGUUGGCAAUUUGUGCCCUACCAGAUGAACGCUCAGUCCUGGCAUAUCGUCAUACGACCAGGUAAACACAUCUUUCAACAGAAGUUGGAUUAUGGCAUCUUGGGUUUUCUCAUCUAUGUGGAUAUUUAUCUUGAUUUUCUGGAUUUCUUUAGAGGUUCCCAAGUUAACCAGCUCAGUAUCAUUCAAGUUUGGCUUAGGUUUAUUCUCAGAUUGUUCUAAUUCUCAAUUUAUUUCCCUAAAAGCCUUUUCUUCGUCAUAUUCCGGUUCUUGGUUCAAUAUUUCGCGAUUAGACAGUGUGUUUGGAUCUGGGCAUGAAGUCCGCAAGCAUGUCAUAUUAUUUAAAGCCGCAUUAUUAGAACUGAAAAGAAGAAAUGAACGAGAAAAACAGCAAAAUCAGAAAGAAUAAAGAAGAAUGAACGAUGAAAUAUUAAUAUUAUUUCUUGGAAUUUGAAGAUAAUAGGGUUACGUUUGGAAAUUUAAUGACAAAAACUAAAGAAAACAUCCAAGUUACACCCUGGAAUAACUUGGGAUGCAGAAGAAGUAGCAUGACAAGUCUACCGGGACUCGCCCCUGAUCGAAAAUGGCAUGGCCUUCCAAUUUUGGAGCUUAGCACUUGGUCCCAUGUAUAGCACCUCACUGUACUUCUGCCCUCUUCCAGCUGAACCAUGUGGGUUUCAUAUAGCAUCUCUCUCAUUGCCCCACAUAUUUCUUCAAUUUCUUCAGCCGUAAAAGCCUCAUCCUCCUCUUCUUCACUGUACUUUGGUUUGACAAAGGUUUCAUACAAAUGUGGCAAUGGUUGAGUAAGACCCACCCCUUACAAUGUCUAUCAUUUGCCCAUUUCCUAUCAUCUGACAUCUGGUGAAAGCCUAACCCGAAGUGAAGGCCUCAUCCUCCUCUUCUUCUUCACUGUACUCUGCCUUAUAAAUGUCUCAUACAAAUGUGGCAAUGGUUGAGGUACAACCCACCCAUUACGCUGUUUGUCUUUUGCACAUUUCCUAUCAUCCGACGUUGGGUAAAAGCCUAACCCGAAGAACUUCUCAGUGGUAGGCAAGGUAAUUGGCUCAUCCCCUUGCAGAGACUUUCCCAACCUUUUUCCUGGCUUAUAUCCAUGUCGUAUCAUCUAUUUAGCCACCAUAAUGGAUGUAUUGGAAAGGAAGGGUUGAGGUCAGGGUUUUCCUUCUUCCUACUGGUCGGCUACCACAACUUCAAAGGCUUGAUCCACUAUGUGCUCACUGCCUUCCCUCGCUUCAAGACAUGGGAUAGACGGGUCUCGAUAGAUUAGUUCUUCAUCAUAUCCGUGGACUAUGAUCUCUUGAUCUUCAUGCUCAAAUUUCACCAUUUGAUGGAGAGUAGAGGGUACCACUCCUGCUGCAUGGAUCCAAGGCCUCCCCAGAAGGUAGUUGUAAGAUGUGUCCAUGUCCAGCACUUGGAAGGUUACCUCAAAGUCUACCAGGCCAAUGGUAAGAAUCAGAUCGAUUUCUCCAAUUGUGUCCCUCUUUAUACUGUCGAAAGCUCGCACACAGACAUUGUUGGGACGAAUCCUUCAAAUCGCAAUUUCCAUCAUCUGGAGUGUAGAGAGUGGGCAAAUAUCGUCAGGUUGAUUUCCCUAAUUGUGUCCCUCUUAAUACUGUCGAAAGCUCGCACACAGACAUUGUUAGGACAAAUCCUUCCAGUCUCAAUUUCCAUCCGCUGGAGUGUAGAGAGUGGGCAAAUAUCUACCUCCGAACCUUCGUUUACCAUGACCCUCUUAACAUAAUAUCCCUCACAUUUGACAGUUAAAUGCAACGCUUUAUUGUGAUCAGCCCCUUCCGAGGGCAAGUUAGUUUUGCUGAAUGAAAUUUGAUUAAUGGCAAAAAAUCUUUCUGCCAUUCUUUCUAACUGUUCCACCGAAGUUUCAGCUGGCACAUAGGCUUCAUUCAGGGUUUUUAUUAAAACCAUUUGUUUUUUAGGAGACUUCAUAAGCAAUGACAGCAUGGACACUUGUUCAGGAAGCUUUCGCAGUUGAUCAACCACUUCAUAGUCUGCCAUCUUCAUUUUCUGGAAGAAAGCUUCUGCCUCUUCAAGACUUACACGUUUCUUAGACGGGAAAUGCUUUCUAGUGUCAUUGUUUACUUCUUCUACACUAGCGUAAUUCUCAACGGGAUGGUUUUCUGGAAGUUCCCUUGAGAUCUCUUUGCCUUUGUAUGUAACCUUGUUUUAUGAUAAUUCCAUGGUACUGCAAUAGGAUUUGUCAUAGGCUGCUACGGCGCGCGUCUAAUAACUACGGGCCUGUUCGGCUUCGAUGGCUUAAUUGCCCAUAGCACAAAGCCCCCUUGGGUAUGUACAUUCGGGUUGCCUUCUUCAAUUCAAGCCUCUUUGGAGGGCUCAAAGUUUGCUGCUUUUCUUUACGGGCUCGUGGGACAUAAAGAAUCUCAUCUUUGGGAGGCAUCACCUCUAUGCCUGUUUCAACUUUCUUUUUUGGUUCUGUCUUGGUGACUUUGUUCUUCUUUUCCUCUUUAUCUUGCUUUGGAGCACUUUUUGGCUUUUUAUCUGCAUCUGCGAUGGAAAUUAUGGCCUCUAGUGCCGUAUCAAAUUCUUUAUCUUCACAAAUCAUCCCAAUAACUGGCUCGUUGUUGUGGGCUGGCAAUGGGCUAUUAGUCACGUUUGGGACAUCCUCAUCCCUUAGCACUAUUUUGCUUUGCUCUAUCAAUUUUUCCACCGCUCGUUUCAGGGUCCAAUAAUCAUCUGUAUCGUUCCCUUCUGUUCCUGAAUGAUAGGCACAUUUGACACCGGCUUUGUAAGCGGGCGAUACUGGGUUUUGCCUCGUUUCGGGAACUAGUUUCAACAGGCCCAUUUGGACAUGUUUUGGAAAUAGAUUGGAGUAAGACUCACCAAUUUGAGUAAAAGUUUUCUUUCUGGGUGGCUCACGAGGAGGAAAAUUAUUUUGUAGAGGACGAGGAUUAUAGUGAUAUUGUGGAGGAGGUUGAUUUCUUGUAUAUGGGGCUUGGUUUCUUUUGGCAAGUUGUUGCGGUCGUACAAAAGGUUGAGCAUUCAUGACCGCAUACGGUUGAGGAGAAUAUGCCAUGUCUUGAUGAGGGUAAAAAUUCCGAGGGGAUCUGUCUGAGAACAGGGUCUAGGAGUGCGGUGUCUCCUUGCACUUAAGGCCGCUAUGGGUGUUUCGUAUUUCUUCUUACCUUUGGUCACUCCUCCAGACCUACCUUGGAUGGCUUGGGAGGUUGCUCUAAUAGCUUAUUGGUUCAAACUUCUGCCCUUUUUUAGUCCAUUCUCUACCAUCUCAACAAUUUUAUGGCCUCCGCGAAUGGUUUGCCCAUGGUUGACAUAAUAUUCUAGAAAUAAUCAGCCUCCUGAUCCUGAAGAAAUACAGUUACCAUUUCCACUUCAUCCAUUGUAGGUUUUACCCUUGACGCCUGUUCACGUCAUUUGAUCGCAUACUCACAAAAACUUUCUUAGGGCUUCUUCAUUAGAUUUGCCUACGAGUUUCAGUCUGGAGUAAUAUCGAUAUUGUACUAGAACUAUCGAACAAAGUCUCUUACAAGAUUAUCCCAGAGGUGCCACCGAGAAAUAUCCUGAUCCAUAUACAAUUCGGAGGUGAUACCCACCAAGCUUUCCCCAAAGGAAGCCAUGAGCAAUUCUUCUUUUCCUCCAGCUCCGCACAAUUGAUUACAGUAUUUCUUUAGAUGGGAAAUUGGGUCACCAUGCCCAUCUUACAUUUCAAACUUUAUGGUUUUGAAUCCCACAGGAAAAUGCAUGUGAGGGAACAUACACAAGUCAGUGUAUGACAUGUUUCUCUGUUCACUUAGCCCCUGCAUGUUUUUGAGGCUUUGCUCCAGGCUUCUCAUCCUCUUUUCCAUAUCUUCCUGUUCCAGAGUUUAGGGGGUCUUUUCCUAUCCCGUUAUGAACUCAAAUGGAUGUGGCUGCGAAUAAGAAUAGGUGGGAUACUGAAGGGGCUCCAAUUAGGGAGUGAAUGUUUGGAAUGUGAAGGUUGAAGGAUCAAAGGUGGGCCUUGGCAAUGUAGGAUGUUAUAGUUGCGCAUGGUGGAGCAGUAAAGAUUUUUGGGACUGCAUUAGAUAUAGCCAUCUAGGGGCGAACCUCUGAUGGUGUUCCCACAAAACGAGCUGAGAUGGUUGGGCGUCCUAGUGUAAUGUUGGGAUAAUUUAUUGGGACAGUGGACGUUCCCCCCAUUCUUGGGAAAAGCUCGGGAAAUUCGGAAAUUGCACUAGGUGGCUCUUUUCCAUUUGACCAGGCAUCCCAUAUCUCCAUCAUGCAGAGAUUCAAUAGCCGAUUUUCCUCGGCGAUUACUGACUCUAAUGCAGGAGGCCUGAGAUUGGGCUUUCGUCCGUGAUGGGAAUUGCUGGCAGAGUGAUUUUUGAAGACAUUUCUGUGUUACUCUUUGAUUUAAUGAAGUAGGGACGUGAAGCCAGUGUACCAAUAACUAGCCUCUGUUUUUUUUAAACCUGGACGGGAUAUGACAUCAGCAAACGAUUAGUUCGAGACAAAUAAGAGAUAGGUAAUCGCAUUUUGGGGUGUGAUGCACAUACACAGUUAAAUGAGUUUCUACAUGUCUUGCAAUGAUUGCAUGCGUCAUCCUGACUUUCCUCAUCCACUUGAUUUCCACUCUUGUUUCUUUUCUUUUCUUUCAUUCUUGACUUUUCUUUUACCAUCAUCUCUCUCUCUCUCUCUCAAUCAUCUUAUUUCUCUCUCUUUUGUUUCUAUUCCACUCUUGUUUUCUUUCCUCUCUUUUCUUUUUCUUUUCUCUUAGGGUUACAGUCGGAUCCUAUGGAGAUUUCCUACGUAUCAUGACCCCGCAUGAAUCAAACCAAGCGUAGUUCGUGGAAAAUAAAUGUAAAUAUAAGCAAAAUGUUUUGGGAUUUUUGAUUUUCAUAGAUAGCAAAUGCUUUGAUUACAAAGACUCAAAGCUGACAGAUUAAAACAGUUAAUAGGCUAUGAUGAAAAAAAGAAAUACAGACUCCAAAUUCAACUAUCCUUCUUCAAAAGAGUUUACUGAUUCGAACAACUUGACAGACUCUAGCGGAAAGAAAAUACAACCCGAACAACUUGACAGACUCUAGCGGAAAGAAAAUAUAGACUCAAGCAACUGACAGACUCUGGUGGAAAAGGAAAUACAAACUCAAAUGAAAAUCAUGAAUACAUUUAAGCUCCUGGUGCCUCCGGGACACUCGCCACGGGCCUAUAUGCAAGAUACUUUUGAAGUCUAUCCAAGGCACUCAUUAUCUGUUUAACAAAUAUCAUUACUGCCACAAAAAAGGUGGUGCGAGUCAUUUUCUCGCACAGUUGGCAUUUUCUAGUAAUGUAGUGAGCAAUGGUCAGGAUCAUUUCUCUAAUUUUGCCCUUUUCUUGAAGCAACUGCCCUAUCUUAUCAUUCCUAGCUUCCAAAACUUGAGAGUCAUAAAAGUGUUGAUUUUGUAAAUAUUGUAGUUCCUCCUCCAUUUGGGCCAUCAAGUCAUAGCAAUGUUCCCUAUCAGUUUGGAAAUCUUUGGCUUGCUUAGUUGCCUCGUCCUCAAGGGUAGUCACUUUUCUUCUCAAAUUAGUAAUAGUCCCUUCAUAAUUACUCUUCAUUUGUCGCACAUAUUGGGCCCGUUCUUCUGCUUUCUUUUCCCAUUGUGCCUGGAUUUUUGCUAUAUUCUCUUUGGAUUUUUCCAAGUCUUCCUGACACUCUAAGACUUGUCUUUUCAGUCCGUUUAUCAACCUUUCAUCAGCCCGGCUUCUUUCUUGGUUGUUAGCAACUAUUUUCAUUUAUCGGAUUUGAGCCAUAAGAGCCUCAUAUUCUUGGGUCAGUUUCUUCUUGUCACCAUUGGUUGUGGCUUGCAAGCUGUUUUCAAACUAGAGUUCCCGAACCUGCUUUUCCAGCUCUCUUAUUAUGGUCAUGUAUUCAUUCUCUUUGGUUAACCAAUCCCAUUUCACCUAGACCCCAUCAAUAAAUUGUUGGACAUGUGGCCUCUUCGCGGGCCUUUGAGGAAUCUAGAACCUUUUGCCGAACCAAGCCAUGUACUUAGGGACUACUUCGCCCCUGGCCCGAUCUCGCACUAUGGCCUUUGGCUAAAGAAACCUACAAUCAUUCAAUAUUUGGCAGAUUUUUCCUUCUAGGAAUGCAACUUUUGGGCCUAGUUCGAUGACUUGUUUACUCAGAUCUUCAUCACCGUGGACGGUUUGAAAUCUUCCCAAUUGGCACAAAACUCUGUAGGGAGCAUAGGGUUGGAUGCUCUGGAUGCCCAUCAAGAGAAUCUAAGGUACUUCAGCUGAUGUGUAUACUGCCUCGGUAACGGGAAAUCAUCCGAAAGCCCACUCAAUUUUGUCAACGGUCAAAGAUCUCAAAUAUGAUUGCCAAGCCUCAGUACACUCAGGGAAUUCAAUACCUAUUACCCGGGUUUUAAAUUCUUCAUUACAACUCAACCCGGUCAAACCAUAGUUCAUAUACCCGAUCCAGUGAUAGAGAUGCUCUUGUAUCCAUAGCUGUAGCAACAAAUUGCAACCCUGGAAGAACAUUUACCCUUCUCGGCAUAUCGUCAAGGCUCGAUAGAUUUCAAACACGAUUUGCGGAACCAUUGCAAUGUUGGCUUAUUUGAUUGCAACAUCUAGCAUUCCAACAAGGUCGAUCUCUAUAUGACCAUAUCUUCAGGGACAUGUCACAACUCCCAAGAAAGCUACCAUGAAAACUAAGCCUCGGCUUGCCUCUCACUUGUCUCUGUUUCUGACAUGGGUUAGACCAGUCUUCAGCUCUUCAAAACCUCGAGGGUUGCCAUAUCGAUGAUACAAGAAAUGGAGUGUGCAAUACCCUUCCGAUAUAUUUUCGUCCUGAACGUUGCGACUAAUGUUUAACAAGUCUAGGAACCUGUGGGGAGUUACUGGUCUUGGUGUCAACGGAUAUAGGCUUCUAAGAUUUCCAUUGAGGCCUGUAUAACCCGCGACCCUCCAGUGUAGGCGUGAGCUCAAAGUAAGAGAAACGGAAUACAUUGCAAGUGGGGUCCCAGAAAGGUAUCAAAGCCUCAACUAUGUCCAAUGUUGGAUUGACUUUUAAUAAACCGAUGAGGCCUUGUAGAACUCUUGUCAAUGUUUCUUUGUUGCCCGUUUCGAAGUCAUCCUACCACAUAUGGAGCUUCAAGGGGAUCUCUUUAAGGACUGUGAAGGGUUAAAUUUCAUCUAUUCUCAUCCUGCACAUUUACUAAGGGUGAUUUAAGAACUUAUUGUGACCUAGAAGAAAAGAAAAAACAACAUCACUUUUUUCAAAAUUUCUCAAAUUUUCAUUUCGAAAACAAGACUUCGGCUUUGCGGAUACGACCUUUUAGCACUUCGGGAAAGAAGAUUUUAAGGUUAUGCCUACUAACCAUUGAAAAUGACCCAAGGUGGUUUUUCUUGCAAAAACAGCCUUCUGGAGUCCUUUUAGGGACAUUCGACAUAGUUUAGACAAGAAUGACAUCACCUGACUUAUUUGUGACGAAAAAACUAAAAACUUUUCUUUUGGUAUUUUGUUUUGGCUAUUUUUUGCAAAAAGGGAAGUUGGACCCAAUGGGAGUUGCCUACGUAUUCCACAUCCGGUAGGAAUCAAACUGGCGUAGCUCGGGAAAAUUUGUCAAAACCAAAUAUUUGUUGCAAGCAAAAACUCUUUCUUUUGUUUUUCAAAAAUCCGGCAGAGUUUCGAUACUAUUUGAAUGUUGGUUUUUCAAACAAGUGAUUAUCCUCACUUAACCAUUAACACUACUAUUUUCUUCCAACUAUCUCCCAUUAUUUACAAGACGAUCAACAUGUAAAGCCGAGCAAAUAAAUGCACAAGUAGCACAUAAGAUGCAUCAGGAUGGUCUUUUAGUUUUGGUUACACCUAUCCUAGACGGACUCAACCCAUAUGUUGAGUCCCCUAAGUCAAAUGCACAUGAUGCAAACAAAUGUUCCUACUAAGAAUCCGGCAUGAGGUUUUGUUAUACUAGACUUAGCUUACCCGAGCGGACAACUCGAGCCGAAGGGGGCCAGCAUACCGGGGAUACAGAAGCUCCGUCGGCUUAUCAACUUGUCUGAACCUUGUUCUAAAUUGGGAUAUGACUCUCAAUAGAAUAGAAGUCACACGAAGUGCACCCUUCUCCAUGAUGUAGAAGACUCAGAGGGAGGAAGGGUUUCGUAGUAGUUUAUAUAUACAAUUUAACAAAUAUCAAAGCAGUAACGCAUUUAGUACAUUAGGCAUGAAACAUGUAGGAAAAUAAGAUAAAUCCAAAUGUAAUUGCUAUUCUAAGCUCGAAUUCUUAAACCAUAAACCAAAGUUCAAGGUUUUUCUCCCCAGUAAGAGUCGCCAGAGCUGUCACACCUUAUUUUCUCACACCGCCCCCGGAAGGGUGGUGUAUAAGGGAGUUUUUCCAAUUUAAGCGACAUUAUUCGAAAUAGGAUUAUAUAUUUAUCAGAGUAGCCACUUGGGAUAAGUUUGGCUUUUGGUGUCCCAGGUCACCGGUAUAUCUUGAAUCCCAAAUCGAGAAAAUUUUCGACUUUCCAAAUGAAGUCUGUGAACCAGAAAUUCUUAAGUAAGGAAUUCUGUUAACCCGAGGGAAGGUAUUAGGCACCCUCGGAUUCCGUGGUUCUAGCACGGUCGCUUAAUCUAUUAUAAAUGACUUAUUAUGAGAUUUUAAAACAUGUUUAAACCUAUAGUGCACUUUUUAGAAAAACAAUUGCCGCUUUUAAUUAAUUUUUUAAAGAAUGUGAACGUUGUUUAAAACGUAUUUUUGGAUCACAUCACUUGAAAUGCACUCAGAUCCGACAUACGUUUUAUUCAACAUUUUGGGAUUUGGAUUUGGGUCGCAUGAAAUGCACACCCGAAUUUAGGAAGGUAGAUUUAUUAAAGAACGGGCCUAAAGUGGCUAAUGUGUUGACAACCUUGCGGGAGGCCACAGAAAUUUGCUAAAUAGCACGCCACAAUUUUUAAGUAUUUUAAAGUAAGCAUUUAAAGAGAGCCGCACAAUUUAUGAGUUUCUGUUUGGCGCGGCGCACCUCAAUUUAUUUUAAAAGGCCACGCUAAAACGAACUAUCAUUCUCUAUUAAGAAUUGUCUCUAAAGGGACUUAAUUAAUUGAUAUUAUUUACUAACUACUAUCAAGGCAUUCAGGAAAACUUGGGCCUCAAGAUCAAAUCCAAGCUCAAACAAUAGGAUCCUCACCAUCGGAAACCUCUUAAUUCAAAUUUACUAUUUGACUUGAAAGGCCCAAAACAUACAUUAUAAAAUUAAACCCAUGAAUUUAAGUAUGAAUUUAAACCUUCAGCAUAUUGGGCAUUUGGGAAUAGGCCUUGUCCAGCUUUGGAUUUGAUGUAACUUAACUUGGUUACAUUGUUAAGUGAGUCUAUGGAAUCCACUGAAGCCAGGCCUAGUAGUAUAUUUACAGGGUGACGGUUGUUAGCUGGGCCUUUAAUAGGCCCGACAUUGUGAUAUACCCAGCCCAGCGCCCAAAUAUAAUGGCUAGCCACACAAUUAUAGGAAACUUAAGGCUGAUUAGUAGACCCAGAUUAUGCUUUAAAAAUUAUUAUUCAAAUUAACUAAGUAGAACAAACUUAAUUCAAACAGGCAUCUCUAACUUAAAUCUGCUAUAGCCAAAACGCAAGUAUCAAUUAUUUGUCAAAAACACACUGAAAUUUGCAAAUGCUAAUCACUUCCAUGUACUUUCAAAUAAUCUACACAUUUAUAUUUAAAUGCUGAUGCCUGGAUUUUAACAACAAAUCCGACUCCAACUGUUACAAUUUUUGUGUAAAGCUACUCAUGGAUUAAAAAUUAAACAGACUACAAGAUUGACGCUAAAUUAACAUGGAUUGAAAUGCCGGAUGUUUCUAACAAAAGUCCGAUUAUACAGUCCGUAAAGUAUCCAAAUAUGCUAAUCAAUCCAACAAUUUCAAGCAUGUGUAAGAACAACAUAAACAAAUGAAUUUGAACAGAUAAAAGGGCGUAACAGGACUGGAUAAAAUAAAUCAUCCAUGGACAUCUCAGGAUUCAUUCUUCAUUAAAAUAUUCCACAAACUCUUGCCAUUUAAGUUUCAGGUGAAUACGUGGAAAAUUGAACAAAAAUAAGGGAAACGAAGGUCAGCUAGGCAGCAGUACACCAGCAAGUGCAGUUUCAGCAAAUCUCAGCAAAUUCAAGGCCAAGUUCAGGAGUAUGUUUCAGCAGCACCAAAUUUAGACUCGAUUGUACUAAAGCAACCAACUAAACUCAAAAUCAGACUUCAAUGAAUUAGCUGAAAUAAAACAGUAGACCUGGAGGAUUUUUUUAUUUCUUUUUUGGGACUAUUUUUAGAUUUCUAAAUUUUUUGAAUUUUAAAUCUCUAGGCUCUCUAAACUUUUUUUCUAAAUUUCUUCAAACUUUCAGAUUCUCUCCCUAUAAAAAAUCUCUCUUGCAAGGCAAGGGACUACCCCUUUUAUAGGCUAAGGCUAGGGCAACUUUUCAGAUUUUAUUUUUACACCCUUAGUCCCUCUUUUAUUUUCAGUUCUGGCUUAGUUAGUCCUUUACUUUUUGGCUUGUUGCCCAAGUUACUACACUUAAUUUCCUGAACCCCAAAUUAAAACUACAUCUAGAAGGUUCUAGUGGCUUCCAAUUUUAGUUACUGCACUAUUCUCUCUUUUGAAAUACCUAAACUACCAUUGAAUUAGUCCUAAAAUUACUAACCUAUGUCAAACUAACCCCACCCCCUUAAUCUUGGUCAGAACUGACCAUGGUUAAAUAAAACAUGCUGGAGCAUUCAGCUAUAUCCAAACAAUUCUUAAAAAUUUAACUAAUAAAUCAAUGUAACUAACCAACACAUGAAAAUUAAUUCUAACUAAUACUAUAACCUAAGAUUAAUUUUAUCACUGAACCAUGAAUGAACAGUUCAACAAUGAAACUAUACUGAACAAAACUAAAUAAGAAAAAUGUAAAGAACUCAUGGAACUAUACUGUAAAUAGAAAAAUGAAUAACAAAAAUAAAGCUAUAAAGAAAGCAACAACAAACAUGGAAAUUAUACGACUAGAAAUUCAAUAGAGAGUCCAGCCAAAUAUCAAAAAGAAAUUUAAAUUGGUAAUCAAAAAAGAAACCUAACUCAAAACCUAGAAUACACUCAAAACCUAGAAUACUAAUUACUGCCAACAAAAAUAAAAAUAAAGUAUAAAGAAAACAAUGAAUAGAUUAAUCAGAAAACUAAUUUUAAAAUCAAUAGUUCAAAUAAAAGAAGAAAGAAAAUAAACUUACAUAUGUAGGGCUUGAAACAGGUACUAGACUUUGAUUCGAGUCCCAAAAUGAUGCUAGACGUUUGUUCUUUGUCAAGAACAAACGAAAGCAUUGUUUUGUGACUCAAAUCAGCUUUUAGAUUCAAGAAUUUGGGGAAGAAAUCAACAGCUUCGAACUUCUAGGGUUCUGCCCAUCUUCCAUUUGAAAUUCGAGAAAAUUCGAUGAGAUUCGUAGAAAACUAGUUAGAGGUUUGGGAAGAGGGAGAUGAGGAGAGUCUGGGGUGUAAUUUUGGUGAGGUUUCGGGGGGCUUCCGUGCACGACGGAGUAGUAGCCAUUUCAAAUGAAUAUUCGACGAGAUUGGUUGUGAUUUGAGGGACACCAAGCCCAGAUUUGGAUAGAGGAGGUCGAGGAGGUGGGGUGGUGUAAUUUUGGGGGUCAUCGGAGAAUCGCAACCGGUGAAGGCGAUUUCCGGCCGCGUGGGCGGUGGUGAGCUAAGGUACGAGGAAGAGCGGUUUAGUCUCAAAUUUCUAAGACUUUCAGACGUUUUUAAUUAAAAC
rnacentral:lncRNA from 1 species